rnacentral:rRNA from 1 species
ACACGGCGGGUGCUAACGUCCGUCGUGGAGAGGGAAACAACCCAGACCGCCAGCUAAGGUCCCAAAUUACUACUAAGUGGGAAACGAUGUGGGAAGGCUCAGACAGCCAGGAUGUUGGCUUAGAAGCAGCCAUCAUUUAAAGAAAGCGUAAUAGCUCACUGGUCGAGUCGGCCUGCGCGGAAGAUGUAACGGGGCUAAGUAGUAAACCGAAGCUGCGGCAAUGUGCUUUUGCACAUUGGGUAGGGGAGCGUUCUGUAAGCGGUUGAAGGUGUGUGGUAACGCAUGCUGGACGUAUCAGAAGUGCGAAUGCUGACAUGAGUAACGAUAAAGGGGGUGAAAAACCUCCUCGCCGGAAGACCAAGGGUUCCUGUCCAACGUUAAUCGGGGCAGGGUAAGUCGACCCCUAAGGCGAGGCCGAAAGGCGUAGUCGAUGGGAAACGGGUUAAUAUUCCCGUACUUCUUACAAUUGCGAUGGGGGGACGGAGAAGGCUAGGUGGGCCUGGCGACGGUUGUCCAGGUUCAAGUGCGUAGGCUUGAGAGUUAGGUAAAUCCGGCUCUCUUUAAGGCUGAGACACGACGUCGAGCACCUACGGGUGUGAAGUCAUUGAUGCCAUGCUUCCAGGAAAAGCCUCUAAGCUUCAGAUUGUAAGGAAUCGUACCCCAAACCGACACAGGUGGUCGGGUAGAGAAUACCAAGGCGCUUGAGAGAACUCGGGUGAAGGAACUAGGCAAAAUGGUACCGUAACUUCGGGAGAAGGUACGCUCUCGACGGUGAAGUCCCUUGCGGAUGGAGCUAUUGAGAGUCGCAGAUACCAGGUGGCUGCAACUGUUUAUUAAAAACACAGCACUGUGCAAAAUCGUAAGAUGACGUAUACGGUGUGACGCCUGCCCGGUGCCGGAAGGUUAAUUGAUGGGGUUAGACUUCGGUCGAAGCUCUUGAUCGAAGCCCCGGUAAACGGCGGCCGUAACUAUAACGGUCCUAAGGUAGCGAAAUUCCUUGUCGGGUAAGUUCCGACCUGCACGAAUGGCGUAAUGAUGGCCACGCUGUCUCCACCCGAGACUCAGUG